GGCCCGGCAUGGGGGAUGGAGGCAACAAGUUUGAGCCCUAGGCGGCACCAGCCGCCCGUCCCGGGCUGUGGGUGUUCAUCUGGAGUCGGCACGGGGGAUACAGGAUGGAGCCCCACGGAUUUCAGUUUUUCUGACUGUUAAAUGAGAGGAUGAUUGCUCACAAACAGAAAAAGGCAAAGAAAAAACGUGUUUGGGCAUCAGGCCAACUCUCUGCCGCUAUUACAACUUCUGAAAUGGGGCUCAAGUCCGUAAGUUCCAACUCCAUUUUUGAUCCGGAAUACAUCAAGGAGCUGGUGAAUGAUAUCAGGAAGUUCUCCCAUGUGUUACUAUAUUUGAAAGAAGCUAUUCUUUCAG
rnacentral:lncRNA from 1 species